UGGUCAAGUUAUUAAGGGUGCAGGGCGGAUGCCUUGGCACUAGGAGCCGAUGAAGGACGUGAUAAGCUGCGAUAAGCUUCGGGGAGUUGCACGUAAACUUUGAUCCGAAGAUUUCCGAAUGAGGAAACUCACUUAGAGUAAUGUCUAAGUAUCAUUAAGUGAAUACAUAGCUUAAUGAGGGGAACUCAGGGAACUGAAACAUCUAAGUACCUGAAGGAAGAGAAAGAAAUUCGAUUCCGUAAGUAGCGGCGAGCGAACGCGGAUUAGCCCAAACCAAUAAAGUUUUCUUUAUUGGGGUUGCGGACAUAUCAUAACGAAGAGGUAUCGUAAUUGAAGAGGUUUGGAAAGACCCACCACAGAAGGUAAUAGUCCUGUAUGUUAAACGAGAAGACUUUAGAUAUGAUCCAGAGUACCACGGGACACGUGAAACCC
rnacentral:rRNA from 1 species